CUUCUUCUUCGUUCAACAACCCAAUGAAAUGAUAAUAAUAAGGCAAUGUCUUUAACUCCAAAGAUAAAUGAUGAGUACAGUAGAUCACAUGGCCAUGCAAACCAAAGCAAUGAAUAAGUUUCAAAUUUGUAAUAACUUGAACCCAAACCAAGUAUUCUGGACAUUUGAUUCAAAACACACAAAUAAAUGACAUGUAUUUUACUUUGAAGAACCAAAUAUUUGAAAGAUGUC